UACGUAGGGGGCAAGCGUUGUCCGGAAUUAUUGGGCGUAAAGAGCGCGUAGGCGGUCCGAUAAGUCGGCUGUGAAAGUCAGGGGCUCAACCCCUGAAUGCCGGCCGAUACUGUCGGGCUAGAGUCCGGAAGAGGCGAGUGGAAUUCCCGGUGUAGCGGUGAAAUGCGCAGAUAUCGGGAGGAACACCGAUUGCGAAGGCAGCUCGCUGGGACGUAACUGACGCUGAGACGCGAAAGCGUGGGGAGCAAACAGG
rnacentral:rRNA from 1 species